UUUGGUUUCGCAAAUUAGUUUGCAAAUAACAAAACGUUUCAAAUCUAACUUCUUUAAAUAAUAGUGCUACACACUUAGUUUUUAUUUCUGCAGCUCGGCAAAAAUUCGCACAGCCGUGCGCCAGCAAAAUAAAAAACUGAUAUUUCAACAGAAAUGACGUUUGUUACCUGAUUUUCGGCAAAAUAUUUGCUGAUUUUCAGCAAUUUUGACAGAAAUCUCGGCAAAAAACAUGGUUGCUGGGGCACGGCUGGGCGAAUCUCGGUAAAAGUUGACCAUUUUGCUGAGAUCCCGGUAAAAAAAAUUAAGUGUGUAGUAAUAGUUCAGAGCAGCAAGUGUUUCUUUCGCUCCUAUGUUAAUACCAGGCGUGAUCAACACACCUUUGGAAAGAAGUGACAAGCAAACAUCCCAGGCUGGCGAAUAGUGUUAAAGUCAACCGAAAUAUGUGCGCGAUAGUGACGUUGAUUGUACCAACUUUAUCAGAAUAAAUUGAUUUCCGAACAGACAGCGAUGUGACAGUUUUGGACUGAAUGACGGAGCAGGCAAAAUUCAACCAACAAAGUGUAUUCCGCGGGACCCUACACCAAGGCAGGCGAUUCCAUAGGAAAAAAAUAAAUGAAUGUCGACGGAAGGAUGUCGUCAAACAAUGUGGAUUGCAAUUGCAAAAAGAAACGGGACCACAUGAUGAGAUGGUGGCGAGCCACAGUAAGACUCCGAGAUCAGUGCGACUAUUCAAGUGUUGUGGGCAACGCUAUUGCGAUCGGUCCGUGUUGCAGUGGAGUGAAAAUCGGCUGCAGUAUCUGACCAAAAUGUUUAAUGAAUUUUUAUUCCAGAACAAAAUAAUGAUUCGUUCCUAUCUAGCCGAUAAAUUAAAUUAAUAAAGAAUCGUACCCCAAAGACAACAUAGGAUGGAUUCAAAAUAAGAACAAUUAAAUGUCUGGAUCCACAAUUAUUACAGAUUAAUCUACCCCUAUGAAGUAAUAAAUUUAAGUUGGAAAUAAAGAAUAAAGAACAUUAUGAAAUUAUAACAAUAAUUAUUUAUUAUAAUUGUAGAAAAUACAUUGGGAUAAAGCAAAGCAAUGCCAAAUUUUUGCCUCUCUGUAUUAAAAACGUGUUUUCGGAUUGUGGGGCAUGAUUUCAAUUUCACAGCUCUACAAUUAAUUUCGGAAGUUCGAACUUUUCAUUUUGAAAGUAGAUAAUGGGUGACUUUUGAAUCGACAGUGAAUUGAUUUUUCUACUCUCUACUAGAUAGUAUCAAUGGAAUUUUUUUUUUGGGAUAAUACUGAGUUACUUGCUCUAGUCUGCCAUCAUAUAGGUAUGUAAAAGCUAAUGACAUGAUUUUAAUAG